rnacentral:rRNA from 1 species
GAUUAGAGUUUGAUCCUGGCUCAGAACGUACGCUGGCGGCACGCCUAACACAUGCAAGUCGAACGAAGUAGCAAUACUUAGUGGCAGACGGGUGAGUAACAUGUGGGUAUCUGCCCUUUGGCCUGGAAUAACACGAGGAAACUUGUGCUAAUACCGGAUAAGUCUUUACGGAGAAAGCUUUAUGCACCAUUGGAUGAGCCCGCACUUGAUUAGUUUGUUGGUGGGGUAAUGGCCUACCAAGACUGUGAUCAAUAGCUGA